AGAGUUUGAUCCUGGCUCAGGAUGAACGCUGGCGGCGUGCUUAACACAUGCAAGUCGAACGAAGCACUCUAUUUGAUUUUCUUCGGAAAUGAAGAUUUUGUGACUGAGUGGCGGACGGGUGAGUAACGCGUGGGUAACCUGCCUCAUACAGGGGGAUAACAGUUGGAAACGACUGCUAAUACCGCAUAAGCGCACGGUAUCGCAUGGUACAGUGUGAAAAACUCCGGUGGUAUGAGAUGGACCCGCGUCUGAUUAGCCAGUUGGUGGGGUAACGGCCUACCAAAGCGACGAUCAGUAGCCGACCUGAGAGGGUGACCGGCCACAUUGGGACUGAGACACGGCCCAAACUCCUACGGGAGGCAGCAGUGGGGAAUAUUGCACAAUGGGGGAAACCCUGAUGCAGCGACGCCGCGUGAACGAAGAAGUAUUUCGGUAUGUAAAGUUCUAUCAGCAGGGAAGAUAAUGACGGUACCUGACUAA
rnacentral:rRNA from 1 species